rnacentral:rRNA from 1 species
UACGUAGGGACCGAGCGUUGUCCGGAAUCAUUGGGCGUAAAGCGCGCGCAGGCGGUCCUUUAAGUCUGAUGUGAAAGCCCACGGCUCAACCGUGGAGGGUCAUUGGAAACUGGGGGACUUGAGUGCAGGAGAGAAGAGUGGAAUUCCACGUGUAGCGGUGAAAUGCGUAGAGAUGUGGAGGAACACCAGUGGCGAAGGCGACUCUUUGGCCUGUAACUGACGCUGAGGCGCGAAAGCGUGGGGAGCAAACAGG